GCUUACGGCCACACCGCCUGGUUCACGCCACGAUCUCGUUUGAUCUCGGAAGAUAAGAUAGGGUGGGCCUGGUUAGUACCUGGAUGGGAGACCGCCUGGGAUUACCAGGUGCUGUAAACU
rnacentral:rRNA from 1 species